CCUACGGGAGGCAGCAGUAGGGAAUAUUGCUCAAUGGGGGAAACCCUGAAGCAGCAACGCCGCGUGGAGGAUGAAGGUUUUCGGAUUGUAAACUCCUUUUUGUAGAGAAGAUAAUGACGGUACCUAACGAAUAAGCACCGGCCAACUCCGUGCCAGCAGCCGCGGUAAUACGGAGGGUGCAAGCGUUACUCGGAAUCACUGGGCGUAAAGAGCGCGUAGGCGGGAUAGCAAGUCAGAUGUGAAAUCCUAUGGCUUAACCAUAGAACUGCAUUUGAAACUGUUAUUCUAGAGUAUGGGAGAGGUAGGUGGAAUUCUUGGUGUAGCGGUAAAAUGCGUAGAGAUCAAGAGGAAUACUCAUUGCGAAGGCGACCUGCUAGAACAUAACUGACGCUGAUGCGCGAAAGCGUGGGGAGCAAACAGGAUUAGAUACCCGAGUAGUC
rnacentral:rRNA from 1 species